rnacentral:rRNA from 1 species
CCUACGGGAGGCAGCAGUAAGGAAUAUUGGUCAAUGGACGAAAGUCUGAACCAGCCAUGCCGCGUGAAGGAUGAAGGCCCUCUGGGUUGUAAACUUCUUUUAUAGGGGACGAAAAAAGGGCAUUCUUGCUCACUUGACGGUACCCUAGGAAUAAGCACCGGCUAACUCCGUGCCAGCAGCCGCGGUAAUACGGAGGGUGCAAGCGUUAUCCGGAUUUACUGGGUUUAAAGGGUGCGUAGGUGGGUUGGUAAGUCAGCGGUGAAAUCUUCGAGCUUAACUCGGAAACUGCCAUUGAUACUAUCAAUCUUGAAUCAUCUAGAGGUAAGCGGAAUAUGUCAUGUAGCGGUGAAAUGCUUAGAUAUGACAUAGAACACCAAUUGCGAAGGCAGCUUACUAUGGAUGUAUUGACACUGAGGCACGAAAGCGUGGGGAUCAAACAGGAUUAGAUACCCUGGUAGUCCACGCCCUAAACUAUGGAUACUCGACAUUUGCGAUAUACUGUAAGUGUNUGNGNGAAGAGAUAAGUAUACCACCGCGGAGGUAAGUAGUGCGAGAGUUAGUUAACGUAACAANAGAGUUAGACGGCGNGAGACGUUAGCCGACGGACGACGACGAGGGGAGGAGGAGG